GGUCAUCUCUUUGCCCAGGUGUCUCGUUCCUGAGCUGUACGUGUACCCUCAAAUCCUGCUGUAUGGUAAAUGCCAGCUGAAGGAGCCAUAUGAGAGGAAGUUCAUCAUUGGGAAUCCCACUGACCUUCCUGGCUGCUACAGGCUUAUUCCCCAGAAAUGCGAGGAGGACUCUCCUGUGCUCUACUCCAGCCCCAAACCCUAUGGGAUUGUCCAGCCUCGCAGCACUGUAGAGAUUCCAGUUAUAGUCAAAGUCCAAACACUGGGCGAGCAUCGCACCAACGUUCUUGUCGGCGUGUUCGGGGAUGAGAGAAACCCACGGAGAAUAGAACUACAGAGCUCUGGAUGCCUGGCAAAAAUCCGCCUAAGUGAUCGCAAGAUAGACUUUGGCGAGGUCCCAUUAUUACAGCCUACUUCACGAAGCCUUACCCUCUUGAACAAUGGUCUCGUCCCUGUAGACUUCAGGCUAGAGAUCGAUCCCACACCCCACUGCUUUGCCGUUGAG